AGGGGAAUAACCCGGCGAAAGUCGGACUAAUACCGCAUAAAACAGGGGCACCGCAUGGUGAUAUUUGUUAAAAGAAAUUCGCUGAUAGAUGGGCAUGCGUUCCAUUAGGUAGUUGGUGAGGUAACGGCUCACCAAGCCGACGAUGGAUAGGGGAACUGAGAGGUUGGUCCCCCACACUGGUACUGAGACACGGACCAGACUCCGUACGGGAGGCAGCAGUGAGGAAUAUUGGUCAAGUGGGGCGGGAGCCUGAACCAGCCAAGUCGCGUAGAAGGAAGAAGGAUCUAUGGUUACGUAAACUUCUUUGCGAGGGGAAAUAAAGUGCAGGACGUGUCCUGUUUUGUAUGUACCCUGAGAAUAAGGAUCGGCUAACUCCGUGCCAGCAGCCGC
rnacentral:rRNA from 1 species